rnacentral:rRNA from 1 species
GGGUUGUGAGGUUAAGCGACUAAGCGUACACGGUGGAUGCCCUGGCAGUCAGAGGCGAUGAAGGACGUGCUAAUCUGCGAUAAGCGCCGGUAAGGUGAUAUGAACCGUUAUAACCGGCGAUUUCCGAAUGGGGAAACCCAGUGUGAUUCGUCACACUAUCAUUAACUGAAUCCAUAGGUUAAUGAGGCGAACCGGGGGAACUGAAACAUCUAAGUACCCCGAGGAAAAGAAAUCAACCGAGAUUCCCCCAGUAGCGGCGAGCGAACGGGGAGGAGCCCAGAGCCUGAAUCAGCAUGUGUGUUAGUGGAAGCGUCUGGAAAGGCGCGCGAUACAGGGUGACAGCCCCGUACACAAAAGCGCAUGUGCUGUGAGCUCGAUGAGUAGGGCGGGACACGUGGUAUCCUGUCUGAAUAUGGGGGGACCAUCCUCCAAGGCUAAAUACUCCUGACUGACCGAUAGUGAACCAGUACCGUGAGGGAAAGGCGAAAAGAACCCCGGCGAGGGGAGUGAAAAAGAACCUGAAACCGUGUACGUACAAGCAGUGGGAGCACAGGUUUACCUGUGUGACUGCGUACCUUUUGUAUAAUGGGUCAGCGACUUAUAUUCUGUAGCAAGGUUAACCGUAUAGGGGAGCCGGAGGGAAACCGAGUCUUAACCGGGCGUUAAGUUGCAGGGUAUAGACCCGAAACCCGGUGAUCUAGCCAUGGGCAGGUUGAAGGUUGGGUAACACUAACUGGAGGACCGAACCGACUAAUGUUGAAAAAUUAGCGGAUGACCUGUGGCUGGGGGUGAAAGGCCAAUCAAACCGGGAGAUAGCUGGUUCUCCCCGAAAGCUAUUUAGGUAGCGCCUCGUGAAUUCAUCUCCGGGGGUAGAGCACUGUUUCGGCUAGGGGGCCAUCCCGGCUUACCAACCCGAUGCAAACUGCGAAUACCGGAGAAUGUUAUCACGGGAGACACACGGCGGGUGCUAACGUCCGUCGUGAAGAGGGAAACAACCCAGACCGCCAGCUAAGGUCCCAAAGUCAUGGUUAAGUGGGAAACGAUGUGGGAAGGCCCAGACAGCCAGGAUGUUGGCUUAGAAGCAGCCAUCAUUUAAAGAAAGCGUAAUAGCUCACUGGUCGAGUCGGCCUGCGCGGAAGAUGUAACGGGGCUAAACCAUGCACCGAAGCUGCGGCAGCGAACGUAUCACCCAAGACAACUUUACGGAGUUGACGAUUGACGGAGCGAAGCGACGUCAAAGCGUUCAUUAAAGUCGAGUUGGCUUAGGGAUACGUUCGUUGGGUAGGGGAGCGUUCUGUAAGCCUGUGAAGGUGUGUCGUGAGGCAUGCUGGAGGUAUCAGAAGUGCGAAUGCUGACAUAAGUAACGAUAAAGCGGGUGAAAAGCCCGCUCGCCGGAAGACCAAGGGUUCCUGUCCAACGUUAAUCGGGGCAGGGUGAGUCGACCCCUAAGGCGAGGCCGAAAGGCGUAGUCGAUGGGAAACGGGUUAAUAUUCCCGUACUUGGUGUUACUGCGAAGGGGGGACGGAGAAGGCUAUGUUGGCCGGGCGACGGUUGUCCCGGUUUAAGCGUGUAGGUGUGUGUUCCAGGUAAAUCCGGUUCACUUUAACACUGAGGCGUGACGACGAGGCACUACGGUGCUGAAGCAACAAAUGCCCUGCUUCCAGGAAAAGCCUCUAAGCAUCAGGUAACAUCAAAUCGUACCCCAAACCGACACAGGUGGUCAGGUAGAGAAUACCAAGGCGCUUGAGAGAACUCGGGUGAAGGAACUAGGCAAAAUGGUGCCGUAACUUCGGGAGAAGGCACGCUGACACGUAGGUGAAGUGAUUUACUCACGGAGCUGAAGUCAGUCGAAGAUACCAGCUGGCUGCAACUGUUUAUUAAAAACACAGCACUGUGCAAACACGAAAGUGGACGUAUACGGUGUGACGCCUGCCCGGUGCCGGAAGGUUAAUUGAUGGGGUCAGCGCAAGCGAAGCUCCUGAUCGAAGCCCCGGUAAACGGCGGCCGUAACUAUAACGGUCCUAAGGUAGCGAAAUUCCUUGUCGGGUAAGUUCCGACCUGCACGAAUGGCGUAAUGAUGGCCAGGCUGUCUCCACCCGAGACUCAGUGAAAUUGAACUCGCUGUGAAGAUGCAGUGUACCCGCGGCAAGACGGAAAGACCCCGUGAACCUUUACUAUAGCUUGACACUGAACAUUGAGCCUUGAUGUGUAGGAUAGGUGGGAGGCUUUGAAGUGUGGACGCCAGUCUGCAUGGAGCCGACCUUGAAAUACCACCCUUUAAUGUUUGAUGUUCUAACGUGGACCCGUAAUCCGGGUUGCGGACAGUGUCUGGUGGGUAGUUUGACUGGGGCGGUCUCCUCCUAAAGAGUAACGGAGGAGCACGAAGGUUGGCUAAUCCUGGUCGGACAUCAGGAGGUUAGUGCAAUGGCAUAAGCCAGCUUGACUGCGAGCGUGACGGCGCGAGCAGGUGCGAAAGCAGGUCAUAGUGAUCCGGUGGUUCUGAAUGGAAGGGCCAUCGCUCAACGGAUAAAAGGUACUCCGGGGAUAACAGGCUGAUACCGCCCAAGAGUUCAUAUCGACGGCGGUGUUUGGCACCUCGAUGUCGGCUCAUCACAUCCUGGGGCUGAAGUAGGUCCCAAGGGUAUGGCUGUUCGCCAUUUAAAGUGGUACGCGAGCUGGGUUUAGAACGUCGUGAGACAGUUCGGUCCCUAUCUGCCGUGGGCGCUGGAGAACUGAGGGGGGCUGCUCCUAGUACGAGAGGACCGGAGUGGACGCAUCACUGGUGUUCGGGUUGUCAUGCCAAUGGCACUGCCCGGUAGCUAAAUGCGGAAGAGAUAAGUGCUGAAAGCAUCUAAGCACGAAACUUGCCCCGAGAUGAGUUCUCCCUGAGACUUAGAGUCUCCUGAAGGAACGUUGAAGACGACGACGUUGAUAGGCCGGGUGUGUAAGCGCAGCGAUGCGUUGAGCUAACCGGUACUAAUGAACCGUGAGGCUUAACCUUACAACGCCGAAG